GGUUAAGCGACUAAGCGUACACGGUGGAUGCCCUGGCAGUCAGAGGCGAUGAAGGACGUGCUAAUCUGCGAUAAGCGUCGGUAAGGUGAUAUGAACCGUUAUAACCGGCGAUUUCCGAAUGGGGAAACCCAGUGUGUUUCGACACACUAUCAUUAACUGAAUCCAUAGGUUAAUGAGGCGAACCGGGGGAACUGAAACAUCUAAGU
rnacentral:rRNA from 1 species